ensembl:lincRNA
CGCCCCGGGCUCCGCGCCCCUCGGUCCGCGCGCGCCGGCGAGCCGCGCAGGGCGCGCCGAGACCGAUCCCGGGGAUCUUUCUCGCACAAACUCCAUUUUGUAAAGGCAGACCCCACAAAGCACGGCGCGGUGUCACCCUAAAACUUUAGGUUCUGUUGUCUGAGUCUUUUAAGGAAAGUCUUACAGUGGAGGUCGCCCGUGGGCGCCUGGAGCUUGGGAUUCUGUUUGUUUUUUAUUGUUGUUAUUUUGUCUCUCCUCUGAAACCAGACUUCCCCAAUCGGAAUCCGUGUUUCGCCCCCUAAUAGCCCGGUGGACGAGUUACAGAACCAGCACCAUCCCCACCGCCCCAAACGGAGCUGCUAGCGGGACCUGCCCGCUGCGCGAACUGCAGUGAUCACAGCGCAGGCCUCAGAGACCCGGACGCGCGCCCAUGCGCCCUGCACCUUGGAAGCAUUCAACUGAUAAUUGCUAGAGGAAGACUCAACAGAAUGCAAAAGGUGCAGGACAUGAGUGUGCAGAUGCUGCAAACUACGUACCCUGGAACUAAACCAGGAAACAACUGACUCCUUCCUUCUUAGGCAAAAUGUAAGUUUUUCAGAGACAAGUGGUUUUCUGAGACACUUGUAGUAGGUGGGCUUUGCCUU